rnacentral:rRNA from 1 species
CCUUAUUGGGCCAACCCUUCUCUGUGGCAAAAGAGUGGGAAGAUUUUAAAGUAGAGGUGAUACACCUAUCGAGCCUAGAGAUAGCUGGUUAUUCAAGAAAAGGAUCUUAGUCCACCUUUAAGUUUUCAUAUAAAUGACCCAAUAAUAUACAUAAAUACUAAACUUAAAAGUCACUCAAAUAAGGUACAGCCUAUUUGAAUCAGGAAACAGCCUCCAAUAUUGGGUAAUGACCCCCCCC